rnacentral:rRNA from 1 species
AUGCAAAGAAAAAAAGCUAAAAGAAACAUCAAGAUAAGCAGAUGCGGUUGUGAGGCUAUGAUGGGAUUGAAGAGGCAAAUUGACAAGAAGUAUGAGGCUGUCCAGUUAGUUGAAUCACACACACACCAACUUGUCUCACCAAAUAAGUGGCAUCUCAGCAGGUCAAAUAGAGAGAUAACUACUGAUUUGAGAAACAAACUAUUUACAUGCAGUAAGGCAUUGCUUGGCACAUCAAAAACUUUUCACUUGCUUAGCAUAGAUAAGGGUGGGCAACAAAACAUUGGUUCCACAGAACGUGACUUACAAAACUAUCAACAUGAUUUUAAGCCAGUGAUUAAGGGAGCAGAUGGACAACUUAUAGUAGAUAUAAUGGAAAAUAAAAAAGGGCCAAUCCAGCAUUCUACAUUGAUUACCAGGUAG